rnacentral:lncRNA from 1 species
AUUUUAUAUAGCAUAGGGGGGAAUAUGAACAUUAAUUUCAUUUGGAUUUUGAUUUUUGAGCGCAAUUUUUGGUCAAUAUUUUUUCUUAGUUUCUAAAUCUAACAUGGUUUCUGAACAACAAUGGCGGAAGACUCUUCCCUCAGAAACCUCAUUUGCUUGGCGAUGAACGCAUCUAUGGUGCGCUGGAACUCCUCAUUGCUCAGCUCAUCCUGCG